rnacentral:lncRNA from 1 species
CCUUCCUUCCCUCUCUCCCUUCCUUCCCUCUCUCCUUCCUUCCCUCUCUCCUUCCUUCCCUCCUCUCUCUCUCUCUUCCUCUCCUUCCACCCUUCCCUCCCUCCUCCCUCUCUCCUUCCUUCCCUCUCUCCUUCCUUCCUUCCCUCUCUCCCCUUUCUUCCCUCUCUCUCUCCCCUUCCUUCCCUCUCUCUCUCCCCUUCCUUCCUUCCCUCCCUCUCCCCUUCCUUCCUUCCCUCCCUCUCCCCUUCCUUCCCUCUCUCUCCUUCCUUCCUUCCCUCCCCCUCUCUAUCUCUCUCUAACAAGUGUGAGAAAGAAAGUGUUUGAAACUAUAUAAAAUAGACACACAGUUGGGAGAGAGACAGGAAGGAGGGGACAGAGGAAGAAGAGGCCAGCAGACAGGAGGAAGAGGCAAGAUAUCCUGGGGGAAUUUAAUUAGCAAAAACGUGUUUUUGUCAUCAAAACCAGAUUAAAACGGUUUGGAAAUAUUUCUUUUAAAAACAAACUGCUCCACAAAAGAUAAAGAGCAAACAAUGUUUUGGAGAUUAACAGGAACAAGGAGCUUCAGACCAGGACUACAAGGCCUGAGAGAGGAGGGAGGAGAGAGAGAGGGGGGGGGGGAGAGAGAGAGAGAGGAGAUUACAGAGAGAGAGAGAGAGAGAGAGAGGAUUAGAGAGAGAGAGAGAGGAGAUUACAGAGAGAGAGAGAGAGGAUUAGAGAGAGAGAGAGGAGAUUACAGAGAGAGAGAGGAUUAGAGAGAGAGAGAGAGGAUUAGAGAGAGAGAGAGAGGAUUAGAGAGAGAGAGAGGAGAUUACAGAGAGAGAGAGAGAGAGAGAGAGAGGAUUAGAGAGAGAGAGGAGAUUACAGAGAGAGAGAGAGAGAGAGGAUUAGAGAGAGAGAGAGAGGAUUAGAGAGAGAGAGAGAGAUUAGAGAGAGAGAGAGGAUUAGAGAGAGAGAGAGAGGAUUAGAGAGAGAGAGAGGAUUAGAGAGAGGAGAUUACAGAGAGAGAGAGAGAGAGAGAGAGGGGAGAGAGAGAGGGGUGGAGGGAGAGAUGGGGGAGACCUGAAGAGCUUCAGAGUGUUUCUUUAGGAUCUUGAUCUGGGCUGCAGAGAUCUGCUCUUUACCUGAAACAAGAAGAGAGGACCUCAGAGACCUACACACACACACACACACACACAGACACACACACACACACACACACACACAGACACACACACACACACACCACACACACCACACACACACCACACACACACACCACCUAUUCUUCUAUAAAGCAACACAACAAUAGAGUUUAAUUCUUUAGCUGAAAUGUGUAUUUAAAACUAAGGUCAAGUUUCUACAACGGUCUGACUCCUCGUCCCACUGGAGAGCUGCAGGGUUUUGUUGCAACCCAGCACUAAAACACACCCGAUUACCUAAACAAUCAAGCUGUCUCUCCUCUUCCUCACCUCUGCAGGUCUAGGAUCUGUCUCUCCUCUUCCUCACCUCUGCAGGUCUAGGAUCUGUC